rnacentral:rRNA from 1 species
UAGGGAAUCUUCCGCAAUGGGCGAAAGCCUGACGGAGCAACGCCGCGUGAGUGAUGAAGGUCUUCGGAUCGUAAAACUCUGUUAUUAGGGAAGAACAAAUGUGUAAGUAACUAUGCACGUCUUGACGGUACCUAAUCAGAAAGCCACGGCUAACUACGUGCCAGCAGCCGCGGUAAUACGUCGGUGGCAAGCGUUAUCCGGAAUUAUUGGGCGUAAAGCGCGCGUAGGCGGUUUUUUAAGUCUGAUGUGAAAGCCCACGGCUCAACCGUGGGGGGUCAUUGGAAACUGGAAAACUUGAGUGCAGAAGAGGAAAGUGGAAUUCCAUGUGUAGCGGUGAAAUGCGCAGAGAUAUGGAGGAACACCAGUGGCGAAGGCGACUUUCUGGUCUGUAACUGACGCUGAUGUGCGAAAGCGUGGGGAUCAAACAGG